rnacentral:lncRNA from 1 species
UGUCCGUGAACAAAGGUCAUUUAGAUUUUUUUUCAAAACUUUAGUUCCUUGUUUAAAAAUGACAAUUAAGUGGAUGUAAAUAUAUUUGAAAUUUCAAAUCAUAUACUUUUGUUGUAAAAACAGGAAAAUAUAUUAUAUUGAGAUGUAUAUAGAUAACUUUUUUUCAGAGACGAAUACCUUUGUAUUAGAUGUCUUUAUUACAAGAUGGUAUAGCCCUUAGUGUAAACAGGUCUACAGGUCUACAGGUCUACAGGUAUAUUGAAAAGUAUUUUAAAAAGUGAACAAGUGUUUAUUUCUAUUAACAUUCGUUGAGAUGACCAAUGAUUAUCUGUUUAUUGCUAUUUUACCUAUGGUGACGUUGUUAAUUUCCUUGACAACAGCAUGUGUUCCCUUAGUUUUUAGCGAUAAUUUUCAUAUCACUCGACUCCGCUGAGAAUGGAAAUGAUCAGUCAGCAAGUUCAAAGGAAAAAUUUGUAAAAUAGCAAUAAUGCAAAAUAUAAGCUGAAAGCAACAAUAUAAUGCUUUUUAGCCAAGUAUGGACAGCAGCUAUGUUGUUAUUGUAUACUAACUUAUUUUUGCAACUAGAAAAAAAUAACAAAAAUAUAAAUUAAUAUUUG